GUGAGUGUCCUUAUUGAUCUUUAAAUUUUAGUGGAAAUCAUUCUGCGAAGUCACUGUUUCUUCCAAAUUGCAAAAUAGGAGUGUAACAUUAUCAAAUUGUUGAUCGAGGAUGUUUCUUAAGUGUAGUAGUUAAGUUGUUUCAUGUAAUACAUGUUUACACAUUGAUUAAGAUGCCUCUUGCCUUUUAAAUUUUUGACAUUGUUUCUUGGUAAAUGAAUUU
rnacentral:lncRNA from 1 species